UAAUACGUAGGGGGCAAGCGUUGUCCGGAAUCAUUGGGCGUAAAGAGCGUGUAGGCGGUUCGGUAAGUCCGUCGUGAAAGUCCAGGGCUCAACCCUGGAAAGCCGAUGGAUACUGCCGGACUAGAGUCCGGAAGAGGCGAGUGGAAUUCCUGGUGUAGCGGUGAAAUGCGCAGAUAUCAGGAGGAACACCUAUGGCGAAGGCAGCUCGCUGGGACGGCACUGACGCUGAGACGCGAAAGCGUGGGGAGCAAACAGGAUUAGAUACCCUGGUAGUCCACGCCGUAAACGAUGGGCACUAGGUGUGGGAGGUGUCGACUCCUCCCGUGCCGGCGCUAACGCAUUAAGUGCCCCGCCUGGGGAGUACGGCCGCAAGGCUA
rnacentral:rRNA from 1 species